rnacentral:rRNA from 1 species
UGGGGAAUUUUGGACAAUGGGGGAAACCCUGAUCCAGCCAUCCCGCGUGUGCGAUGAAGGCCUUCGGGUUGUAAAGCACUUUUGGCAGGAAAGAAACGUCGCGGGUUAAUACCCCGCGAAACUGACGGUACCUGCAGAAUAAGCACCGGCUAACUACGUGCCAGCAGCCGCGGUAAUACGUAGGGUGCAAGCGUUAAUCGGAAUUACUGGGCGUAAAGCGUGCGCAGGCGGUUCGGAAAGAAAGAUGUGAAAUCCCAGAGCUUAACUUUGGAACUGCAUUUUUAACUACCGGGCUAGAGUGUGUCAGAGGGAGGUGGAAUUCCGCGUGUAGCAGUGAAAUGCGUAGAUAUGCGGAGGAACACCGAUGGCGAAGGCAGCCUCCUGGGAUAACACUGACGCUCAUGCACGAAAGCGUGGGGAGCAAACAGGAUUAGAUACCCUGGUAGUCCACGCCCUAAACGAUGUCAACUAGUUGUUGGGGAUUCAUUUCCUUAGUAACGUAGCUAACGCGUGAAGUUGACCGCCUGGGGAGUACGGUCGCAAGAUUAAACUCAAAUGAA